UGAAAAAGCUAUUUGCUCUCGCAUUUUCAUGUAAUUUGCUUUGCAUUUUUUUUUUAAUGAGUUAUGAUGAGCUGAGGUGUUAUCAUGUACUCACUGCUACCAAUGGAAUACGAAUGACUAAAUAUAUAUUUAUAAUUUAUUUAUUUAUUUUUAAAAGUGUUUGAACUUAAUUUAUAUUCGUUAAAAAAUUAUUUUAUUUAUUUAAAUUUGAUUUAUUUAUAUAAUAAAAA
rnacentral:lncRNA from 1 species